CGCGCCGGGCGGGCUUCCGCUGGGUCCCGGGGCGUGACAGGUUGUCCGGUAAGUGUGUGAAGCUACCAUAUGAAAUUUAAUUGAAAAACCGAAAAAGUUAAAAAAAAUGAAUAUUUUAGAAUUUUCGGAGUUACAAGGUGAUAGGAUGAAAAGAUGCUCAAAGAGCCACCCCCGGUGCCAUAUUAGUUAAAUCUCUAUUUUGAACGAGUUGCGACAAAUUGGUGUCAAUUUUGCUGAAUGUCUAAAAAUCAUUUUUCAUCAACUUACAUCUUGAUGGGUUUGAAACAUUAGGUUAUUUUCUAUUUCAAAUUUUGAUGUUUCGAUGUAUUUUGACCUCCUAUAAUAGUUUAUUUUCAUCAUAAUAAUUUUUUGAGUACAAUUCAUAAUUUUUAGGACAUUAAUUUAAUUUUGAAGGGUUUUUGAAGGAAAAUUUUUAAAUUUUUGAAAUCUGUGAAAGUGUACCGGUACAAAAUAACGUGUACCGGUACAAAACACUGUAUACUGCGUUAUUAUCACCGGUAACAGGGCUCGGUUCUCUUUCAAAUCUUAAUUAAAAUCUCUCAUCUCUCACUCUAAAAUUCCUU
rnacentral:lncRNA from 1 species